rnacentral:rRNA from 1 species
CAAUAGCGUAUAUUAAAGUUGUUGCAGUUAAAAAGCUCGUAGUUGGAUUUCUGGUGGGAGCGAUCGGUCUGGCGCUUAGCGCGAGUACUUGCAUCGUCUCCGGCCAUCCUUGGGGAGAGUCUGUCUGGCAUUAGGUUGUCGGGCAGAGGAUCCUCAUCGUUUACUGUGAAAAAAUUAGAGUGUUCAAAGCAGGCUUAUGCCGUUGAAUAUAUUAGCAUGGAAUAAUAAGAUAGGACUUUGGUACUAUUUUGUUGGUUUGCGCACCAAAGUAAUGAUUAAUAGGGACAGUUGGGGGUAUUCGUAUUCCGUUGUCAGAGGUGAAAUUCUUGGAUUUACGGAAGACGAACUACUGCGAAAGCAUUUACCAAGGAUGUCUUCAUUAA